rnacentral:lncRNA from 1 species
UUCCAAUCUUUAGAGUUAAAUGUUGCAGAAGAUGAGCAUGAAGUCACCUACUGGAUGCAAUAUUACUCAUCACCUGACAACAUUGUUGUUAAUGUGACGAACCUCGGUACUGAGAUACGAGUUGACUAUAGGAAACCCGCGACCAAGCACAGCAGAAAUUCUUGACAAAUAUCUACAGCUUUUGGGAAUGAUUGAUCAAGACUUUGAUUUAACAAUUGAUGCAGCUCCUGGUGCCCUUUUCACAAUGUGGCCAAAGUUGUCCAGGCAGACUUUGGAAUUUGCGGAGAAGAUUAAUCCAGGGUAUAGAAAGAUCCUAGGGGCUGGAGUGGACCAGAAAAUGACGCAGAGUCAACAAUGAAGAAAAUUUGGCUUUCAGUACUUCCUGGGAUUUUGAUCGGCAGAACGAAAGGGGAAUGAGGCAAAUUAAAUGUGCCGUACUUCAAAGUCUUGAAUCUUUCAUCAAUCUCCAAUUAGAAGGAGCAUGAAGAAAAAGAAGAUGAACAGGAAUUGACAAUGGCGCGUUCCAUACCUGGGAGUGAUUGCACAGUGGCACCCUUGGACCUAAUUUCACCCUGACAUCAAGUCUGUUUUAAGGAGAACCAUGAGAGAAAUUAAUAAAUUAAAGUUUGCCGAAUAUCAAAGAAUAACAGAGUUAUGAGGCUUCAAAGUUUUAAAUUUGUGACAUGACAUGCGAGCAGCUCCCAAUAUGUCAAUCAUGUAAUAUAAAUUCCAUAAAUUGCCAUUUUUAAUGGUUUUCAUGAUAAUUAAAUGGGUUUUUAUCAGAAGCUUGUAUGAAAUAAUGUUUCUGAUAACAUUGAAUCCACAGGUAAAAUCAUUUUCCAAUUUCCCUAGAAAAGGCACUUGUAUAGAAUUGAUAUCACAUAAAAUAUGGGGAGCUGCUCGCAUGUGAAGUCACAAAUUUAAAACUUCAUAACUCUUAUUCUUGGUGGAUUUUCACCAACUAACAUGCAAUGUCAGGAUGAACCUUGCCUUUAAACCUUGUAUUGGCAGCCUUUCAUUGACAUUUACAUACAGUAUUUUAGGUUUUGUGAGCAAGUAUAUGAAAAAGGUGCUAAUUAACACCUACUUCCCCUUCUUAACCCUAACCAGGCCGGGGGGGGGGUUAAAACAACCUUCCCCCAACAUUAUCUGCGAUCAUUCCUCCGCGGGAGAUUUGUUGACCCUGCCACUCUCAGAGUUUAUACUAAGUCUCGCGCAUCUUUUGAGACCAAAUUUACGAUGCCCAGGUACGUUGUCCCGAAAUUAUGCAACAUUUCGUAAGU